CAAGAGUCGCUUUUAGAAGUGAAAGCGCCAUAUGGACUAUGUGGUUAGCUUAGAGGGAGAGUUUGGUUCAGAAAGACUAUGAUUUAUGAAGAAGGAAAGAAUCGUGACUAUAUGAGGUGUUCACAUGGAAAUGAGGUUAGUUAUUUCUCUUGCCGGUUUGCCUCUGCCCUAUUUACGCAGCUUUCAACGCGCCACCAUGCCGUUUCUUUAAAGAUUAUUCAUUUCAGAAUUUAUUUCAUCAGAAUACAUCCAAUCAAAAACACUAUCGAUCGGUGUUCUUUGCCAAUCACGUGCAAAAUCCAUGUACUAAAACUUUAAAAAUAAAUUUGUUUCAGUAAAAAAAAAAAAAAAUUGUCUUGAAUGAUUUGCACUUAGAGUGAUAAGAAAUGCAUGUGAUUAAUAAUCAAUUUCUACUUACAUUUAAGUAUAAAAAUUAUCACUCUGCAAGGAGUGUUAUCUCUAUGAUGUCAGAUUCGAUCUAUGAAAAAUUUUCCACUUUUAAAAAGGAAUAACCACAAACUCCAAAAAGCAAGAAAUUAGUUUCAUAUCAAAUUUCAAUAUUCAUGGAAAAAAAAAAAUCUAGUUAAGAAAAAAUUUUAUUAACUUGAUGCAUGAAACCACCCAUAUACCCCGAGAGUGGACAAGCGUUAUCCAGCAAAUAUAUAUUUCUAAAUGAAUAUUAGGAGUUAUGGUUUAAUCUACGCCCAAGAAGAAUACCAAUUAGCACAGAUACAGCAUUAAACUAAUAAAACUUGUGACAGUACAUGCCUUCGUUUCAGAACUACAAACUAAGCCCAAACCACCAUUGAGAUUUGAGACAUGUCAACGGCAUCAUUUUGAAGCCCAAUGCAAUAACCUAACAAUUGCAAGAAAUAAAAAUUACAAUUCAUUUCAAAAUUUUUCUAUCUCCUGCAAUGGGUGAUACAAGAGCAUCCUCUAGUGUAAGGAUUAACAGGCUCUCUCGAUCUAAAACAAUUAUGACUAUAGUAAGACCUUCCUGAACGAGGCGGACAAGGCACCCGAUUUGCAGAGAGAGCACCAUAAGAUAUGUGAUAGUGCAUUGGUCUUCCAUACAGAGACCUUCUAUCCGAUCUUCCAUCAUCAUCUUCAUCAUCUUUGUCGUAGAAAUUAGGCAUAGUUGAAGAUGCGCCCCAUUCAAGAGGAUCGGCCAUCAUUAUCUGCUGGAAGCUUUUUUGAUUGAUUUGAUAAGCUUCAAUGAGCAGACACAGAAAAGAAAGAGCAAGAGUCGCUUUUAGAAGUGAAAGCGCCAUAUGGACUAUGUGGUUAGCUUAGAGGGAGAGUUUGGUUCAGAAAGACUAUGAUUUAUGAAGAAGGAAAGAAUCGUGACUAUAUGAGGUGUUCACAUGGAAAUGAGGUUAGUUAUUUCUCUUGCCGGUUUGCCUCUGCCCUAUUUACGCAGCUUUCAACGCGCCACCAUGCCGUUUCUUUAAAGAUUAUUCAUUUCAG
rnacentral:lncRNA from 1 species